rnacentral:miRNA from 1 species
UGAGGCAGGAGAAUCGCUUGAACCCAGGAGGUGGAGGUUGCAGUGAGCCGAGAUCACACCAUUGCACUCCAGCCUGGGCAAAAAGAGCGAAACUCCGUCUCAAAAAAGAAAAAA